rnacentral:rRNA from 1 species
UUGGAGGGCAAGUCUGGUGCCAGCAGCCGCGGUAAUUCCAGCUCCAAUAGCGUAUAUUAAAGUUGUUGCAGUUAAAAAGCUCGUAGUUGGAUUUCGGGGUUCUACCGUUGGUCGGGCUUUGUCUGUACUGGCGUGUAGAAUUUCUACCUUCUGGGGAACCACCAUGUUAUUAAUUUAGCGUGGUGGGAAACCAGGACCUUUACCUUGAAAAAAUUAGAGUGUUCAAAGCAGGCUUAUGUCUGAAUACAUUAGCAUGGAAUAAUAGAAUAGGACGGUGGUCCUGUUUUGUUGGUUUCUGAAUCACCGUAAUGAUUAAUAGGGAUAGUUGGGGGCAUUAGUAUUCAAUUGUCAGAGGUGAAAUUCUUGGAUUUAUUGAAGACUAACUUCUGCGAAAGCAUUUGCCAAGGAUGUUUUCAUUAAUCAAGAACGAAAGUUAGGGGAUCGAAGACGAUCAGAUACCGUCGUAGUCUUAACCAUAAACUAUGCCGACUAGGGAUCGGAUGAUGCUAAUGUUUUAAUGACUCAUUCGGCGCCUUACGGGAAAC